rnacentral:rRNA from 1 species
UACGUAGGGGGCUAGCGUUGUCCGGAAUCAUUGGGCGUAAAGCGCGCGUAGGCGGCCCGGUAAGUCCGCUGUGAAAGUCCAGGGCUCAACCCUGGAAAGCCGGUGGAUACUGCCGGGCUAGAGUCCGGGAGAGGCGAGUGGAAUUCCAGGUGUAGCGGUGAAAUGCGUAGAUAUCUGGAGGAACACCGGUGGCGAAGGCGGCACCCUGGACCGGUAUUGACGCUGAGGCGCGAAAGCCAGGGGAGCAAACGGG